AAGAGUUUAAUUAUUCUUCAUGUCACCCCAACAAAACAUCAUCAUUAAAUAUAGAAAGACAAACAAAAAACUAUAUAAAAAUAAAAUGUUAAGCUCUAUAGGGUCUUCUCAUCCUAAAGAAAAAUUUAAGCCUUUUGACUCAAAAGUUAAAUUCAAAAAUUUAUUAAGAGACAGUUGAUUUCUCGCCAAGCCAUUCAUUCCAGCCACUAAUUAAGAGACUAAUGAUUAUGCUACCUUUGCACGGUCAAAAUA